rnacentral:lncRNA from 1 species
UGCAGCAUAGUAACAUUCCAUUAUCUGCUUAUUUUGCUCUUGGCUCCAUUUAACUCUUUUUGAAUUAUCUUCCAGUUGCAUCACAGUUGGAUGUCCUGGUUGCCUAGUGAUACCAACUGUCCUCUGUAGCCUGCUUAUCGGCUGGUGGCCAGAGAGAUCACCACUAGACACAACCUUUGAACUUGGCAAUGGCUGAUCCAGUAUCAAUUUCAUUCUUCUUGUAUUCACCAUUAUGUUUGGGUGUGGCUAUAUUUAGUCUGGCCCUCAGCUAUGACCUGUCUGGCCUGGGUGACCCUCCUACCAAGUACAUUGGCGCCAGCAUAGCUCCCGGCAUCAUAGAAGUAUGCAAGCCCCCUUGCCCCAGCAAGGCAAUGGCACUUGAGAGGAUUAUUAUUAUUAUUAUUAUUAUUAUUAUUAUUAUUAUUAUUAUUAUUAUUAUUAUUAUUAU